AAUAGAUACCCAGGUAGUCCACGCCGUAAACGGUGGGCACUAGGUGUGGGCAACAUUCCACGUUGUCCGUGCCGCAGCUAACGCAUUAAGUGCCCCGCCUGGGGAGUACGGCCGCAAGGCUAAAACUCAAAGGAAUUGACGGGGGCCCGCACAAGCGGCGGAGCAUGUGGCUUAAUUCGACGCAACGCGAAGAACCUUACCAAGGCUUGACAUACACCGGAAACGUCUGGAGACAGGCGCCCCCUUGUGGUCGGUGUACAGGUGGUGCAUGGCUGUCGUCAGCUCGUGUCAUGAGAUGUUGGGUUAAGUCCCGCAACGAGCGCAACCCUUGUCCCGUGUUGCCAGCAGGCCCUUGUGGUGCUGGGGACUCACGGGAGACCGCCGGGGUCAACUCGGAGGAAGGUGGGGACGACGUCAAAUUAUCAUGCCCCUUAUGUCUUGGGCUGCACACGUGCUACAAUGGCCGGUACAAUGGGCUGCGAUACCGUGAGGUGGAGCGAAUCCCAAAAAGCCGGUCUCAGUUCGGAUUGGGGUCUGC
rnacentral:rRNA from 1 species